rnacentral:ncRNA from 1 species
CGACCUCAGAUCAGGCGGGACUACCCGCCGGAUUUAAGCAUAUUAAUAAGCGGAGGAAAAGAAAACAACCGUGAUUCCCUUAGUAGCGGCGAGCGAACCGGGAAAAGCCCAUCGCCGAAUCUCGCCGCGCACUUUUGUGUCGCGGCACGUAUGAGAGUUGUGGCGUACGGGCCGGCCUCGUUGCCGGGGCGCACGUGACGGUCCAAGUCUCCCUUGAACGGGGCCAUGGCCCGCAGAUGGUGCCAGGCCAGUAGAGGCCGUCACAGCGUUCCGGGAUCGGA